GUGCCAGCAGCCGCGGUAACACGGGGGGAGCAAGCGUUGUUCGGAAUCACUGGGCGUAAAGGGCGUGUAGGCGGUCAGGUAAGUGGGACGUGAAAUGCCUCGGCUCACCCGAGGAGCGGCGUCCCAUACUGCUUGGCUUGAGUACGGGAGAGGAUGUGGGAAUUCCUGGUGUAGCGGUGAAAUGCGUAGAUAUCAGGAGGAACACCGGUGGCGAAGGCGCACAUCUGGCCCGAUACUGACGCUGAGGCGCGAAAGCUAGGGGAGCAAACGGGAUUAGAAACCCCCGUAGUCC
rnacentral:rRNA from 1 species